CGUAGGUGGCAAGCGUUACUCGGAAUCACUAGGCGUAAAGCGCAGGUAGGCGGUUAGAUAAGUUUCUUGUGAAAGCUCCCGGCUUAACUGGGAGAGGCCAAGGAAUACUGUCUGACUCGAGUGCAGGAGAGGUAAGUGGAAUUCCUAGUGUAGCGGUGAAAUGCGUAGAUAUUAGGAGGAACACCAGUGGCGAAGGCGACUUACUGGACUGUAACUGACGCUGAGGCGCGAAAGCGUGGGGAGCAAACAGGAUUAGAUACCCUGGUAGUCCACGCUGUAAACGAUGGAUACUAGGUGUGGGAGGUAUCGACCCCUUCCGUGCCGCAGUAAACGCAAUAAGUAUCCCGCCUGGGGAGUACGGCCGCAAGGUUG
rnacentral:rRNA from 1 species